UACGGCCACAUUACGUUGAAACACCGGUUCCCGUACAAUCACCGAAAUUAAGCAACGUGGAUCCUGGUCAGUACAUAGAUGGGUGAUCGCCUCGGGAUAUCAGGUGUCGUAAG